CUUAGAGUAAUGUCUAAGUAUCAUUAAGUGAAUACAUAGCUUAAUGAGGGGAACUCAGGGAACUGAAACAUCUAAGUACCUGAAGGAAGAGAAAGAAAUUCGAUUCCGUAAGUAGCGGCGAGCGAACACGGAUUAGCCCAAACCAAUAAAGUUUUCUUUAUUGGGGUUGCGGACAUAUCAUAACGAAGAGGUAUCGUAAUUGAAGAGGUUUGGAAAGACCCACCACAGAAGGUAAUAGUCCUGUAUGUUAAACGAGAAGACUUCAGAUAUGAUCCAGAGUACCACGGGACACGUGAAACCCUGUGGGAAGCAGGAGGGACCACCCUCCAAGGCUAAAUACUACCUAGUGACCGAUAGCGUAUAGUACCGUGAGGGAAAGGUGAAAAGAACCCCGGGAGGGGAGUGAAAUAGAACCUGAAACCCUGCACUUACAAGCUGUGGAAGCACAUUUCUUGUGUGACCGCGUACUUUUUGUAGAACGGGCCAACGAGUUACGUUAAGUAGCAAGGUUAAGCACUUAAGGUGUGGAGCCGUAGCGAAAGCGAGUUUUAACUGAGCGUUCAGUUACUUGACGUAGACCCGAAACCGGGCGACCUACCCAUGAGCAGGAUGAAGCGAAAGUAAAAUUUCGUGGAGGUCCGAACCCACGAGCGUUGAAAAGCUCGGGGAUGACUUGUGGGUAGCGGUGAAAUUCCAAUCGAGCCCGGAGAUAGCUGGUUCUCCCCGAAA
rnacentral:rRNA from 1 species